UUCAAGGAUGUUUCCUGAUACGUUGGGAAACGCCGAAAUAAAGUCCUGCAUUGGAUCAGUGCAGGCAACGGAUGGCCACAAGGCGCCGUCAACAUAUCCCUUCCUGUAAUGUUUUGGGCUAGUAGCUCAGUUGGUUAGAGCACACGCUUGAUAAGCGUGGGGUCGGAGGUUCAAGUCCUCCCUGGCCCACCACGACUGUGGUGGUUUCUAGACCUGGGGGCGUAGCUCAGCUGGGAGAGCACCUGCUUUGCAAGCAGGGGGUCGUCGGUUCGAUCCCGUCCGCCUCCACCAGAAACCACACCGAUGCAAGCUGCUUGGCGAAAGCUUUGAGCAGCAUGCUGGUGCGAUAGCAUUACAGGUUAAGGGAAAAAUGUUUCUUCUCUGCCGCGCUUUGGUGCGGGAGCGAUGAAAAAGUCUGUUCUUUGUCAGUGUGAAUAGGUUGGUGCACUUUCUGGGUGCUGCCACGAUCCGGGUUGGUCUGACCCAUGUGGAUCGGUUCUGGGUUCCUGGACUUUGGUCCGGGAGGCUCUGAUCCGGUCUCGUGUUUAAGGAUUGUGGCGUAUAGCGGUCAGAAGGUGUUUUAUAAGUAUGAUGAACUUUGCGUGCGAAGCAUUGCAUUUUCUCUGUACGGAAAACUCUGAAGCGCGCGAGCGUGGAUGGUUGCUGUGCAUGUGUAGUGUGUGAGCAUGAGAAGGGCAUU
rnacentral:tRNA from 1 species